rnacentral:rRNA from 1 species
AGUUUGAUCAUGGCUCAGAGCGACGCUGGCGGCAGGCCUAAUACAUGCAAGUCGAGCGGGUCCUUCGGGAUUAGCGGCGGACGGGUGAGUAACGCGUGGGAACGUGCCCUUUGGUACGGAACAACUGAGGGAAACUUCAGCUAAUACCGUAUGUGCCCUUCGGGGGAAAGAUUUAUCGCCAUUGGAGCGGCCCGCGUUGGAUUAGGUAGUUGGUGAGGUAAAGGCUCACCAAGCCUACGAUCCAUAGCUGGUCUGAGAGGAUGACCAGCCACACUGGGACUGAGACACGGCCCAGACUCCUACGGGAGGCAGCAGUAGGGAAUCUUGCGCAAUGGGCGAAAGCCUGACGCAGCCAUGCCGCGUGAAUGAUGAAGGUCUUAGGAUUGUAAAAUUCUUUCACCGGGGACGAUAAUGACGGUACCCGGAGAAGAAGCCCCGGCUAACUUCGUG